rnacentral:rRNA from 1 species
UGCCCAGUGAAACUUUAACGGCCGCGGUACCAUAACCGUGCAAAGGUAGCGUAAUCACUUGUCCUCUAAAUAGGGACCCGUAUGAAUGGCUAAAUGAGGGCUGACCUGUCCCCUUAAGCUACUCAAUGAAAUUGAUCUAUCAGUACAAAAGCUGAUAUAUACCCAUAAGACGAAAAGACCCUGUGGAGCUUUAAACUCAAACACUACCCACCAACCACUUUUGGGCUAAGGCCCAUAAUACGGCCUAAUGAUAGUGUUGGUUUUAAGUUGGGGCGACUGCGGAACAAAACAAAACUUCCAUGAUACAGGCUCCCCCCCAUCAAAGACCUACAAGUCAACGAUAGCACCUAAUGACCCAGUAAACACUGAUCACCGAACCAAGUUACCCCAGGGAUAACAGCGCUAUCCCCUUUAAGAGUCCAUAUCGCCAGGGGGGUUUACGACCUCGAUGUUGGAUCAGGACCCCCAGGUGGUGCAGCCGCUACCAAAGGUUCGUUUGUUCAACGAUUAAUGUCCUACGUGAUCUGAUUCA